rnacentral:lncRNA from 1 species
AUACAAGUUAUCAUAGGCCAUCAAAUUAAAAACUAAAAAAAUUCAAAGGACUACAAAGGAUUAACAUGGAUCAACCAAAAAUAAUGACUAAUAAUUUUAAUAGCAAUGCAAAUUAACCCGGAUCGAUCAAAAAUAAGAAUAAAAAUUUAAGGAGCAAUAUAAAUAACGUAGAUAUUUGAAAAUUAAUAACAAAUGAUUUUAUGAAAAUGAAAAAAAAAUACUAAUAAUAAUAAUAAUAAUAUUGAAAUAAAAUAAAAUAAACUAAAAAUAAACAAACAACAUUUCACGAAUAUUAUAAAGCUACAUGGAUAUUAGUUUUCAUUUUGUUUCAUUUUAAAUUUAAAACAAUACAAACCAAAACACCAUGACCGACCACUUCCACUUUGAUUUUUAAUUAAAUGAAACAAACCACCAACAUCUCAUGGCCGGCCAUAUAUUGUAUUCUCCUUGAUUUAUCAAUUUAAGAAAGAAUAGAAAACAUCAAUGCACUACAACUCAUGCACACGGCCAAACAAUCAUAUUCCUUUGAUUUAUUUAAGAUUUAAAAGCCUAAAACAUCCAAGCACUAUCUCAUGCACACAGCCACACAUUUAUUCCUUUGAUUUAUUCAAAUUUUAAAAACCUAAACAUCAAAGCACUAAAUCAUGCAUGCAGCCACACGUCUCAAAAUUUGAUGGUAUUUGGUGUAUCUAAAGGUGUAGUCUGUGCUUUCAAUAUGCAACAACCUGUGUGUGUAGGAGGAAUUACUAUGGUGCGUGCUGCUCGUAUAUAUAUAUAAAAAAACCUUGCAGCCCUUACAUGUUCCUCCUGUAUUCCUAAAGGAACCCUUGCCGCCAUGUUUAAUACACCAAUAACACGCAUUUUACAGGCAGCAAUCCGUGUUAGUGCUGUUCGGGCACCUGAAUUUCAUGCUAGGAGUGGGUUGAAGCGCCUUGGGAACAAUUGGGGUGAAAUGGCUCACAGCCCGGUGUGUCUCAGCAAUCGGGCAGUUUCCAGUUUUCACCACUCGUUGCCCAUUGCUUCAUGUUUUGAAGCUUCAUCCAAACUAUUGCUAGCAACAUAACAGAGGCCAUGUAUCACCUCUUCGUGCCCAGGAAGUUUUGGGUUUCCCCCUUCACCUCAAACCCAAACAUAUCUCCCAGAAAACAGAGAGAGGAACGAGGAUACAGUUAACAAAACAAAACAAACCAAACCCUUCAAGCCAAGUACCAUUUCACGGAUUGUCUAUGUGCUUAAAGUGCAGGUGGAAAGAUUUAAGUGAGCUCAACAGAAGAACAUAGUCAUGACUUUCAAGUACCAAAAACAAAGAUGAGUCUUCUUUAUUUAACUUAAAAAAAAAAGAGUAACACAGUAACUAGUUUGUAACUAACCAAUGAUUAACAAAAUGAAAUGGGGCAUCCAGAAUCUAUAUCAGAGCAUCAAAUAAUAUCCAUAGAUCAACAGAGAAGAAAAUAUGAACAAUAGAAAAUGAGAGGUUCGCUAACCAUACCUGUAAAACUUUCCUCAAGCACUGAUAUGCCUCUUCUAGCUCUUAGUGCCGUCACCUAAACCCAGUAGCAAUUCCCCCCAACUCCCUUCUGCUUCCUCUUUUCUCCUCUCCGGAUCCUCUUUUUCUCUCUACCUCUCCCUUCUUUUAAAUCUGAAUGUUUUUGUUCCAAAGUCCCUUCCUCUCCCUUUCCAGACUUCACCCUUAAGACUUCCCUACAGCUUCCCAUGUAGCUCCAAUUUCCCACAACCUCUUCGGGAAAUACCCCCCACUUUUUCUUUCUCUCCAAGAAAACCCCUUUUUCUACUCUUCCUUUCUUUGUUUUAAAAAUAACAACUUUUUUAAUCCCCAUGCUUCUUGCUGGCUUUUGAUUUUUAAUUUUUUU